GCUGUGUGUGAAGCUGCUGCUGCUGCCUGCGGGUUCCGCAGGAAAAGAACAUUGCCCAGAAAAAAACAGAGAAAGUCGUUAGGGUUAGGGUUAGGGUUAGGAUUAGUGUUAGGGUUAGGGUUAGGGUUAGGGUAUAGGGGUUAGGGGUUAGGGUUAGGGUUAGGGUUAGGGGUUAGGGGUUAGGGGUUGGGGUAGGGUAGGGUUAGGGUUAGGGUUGGGUUAGGGUUAAGGUAAGGUUUAGGGUUGUUAGGGUUAGGGUUAGGGGUUAGGGUUAGGGUUAAUGUUACAGUUAGGGAUAGGGCCAGGGUCAGGGUCAGGAUUUUAGGGUUAGGGUCUGGGUCAGGGUCAGGGUCAGGUUCAGGGUUAAGGGUUACGGGCGAGGGGUUAGGGUUAGGGUUGGGGUUGGGGUUGGGCUUGGGUUUAGGGUUUGGGUUAGGGUUAGGGUUUCAGGAUUUUACGGUUAGGGUUUUUGGGUUAGGGUUAGGGUUAGGGUUUUAGGGUUAGGGUUAGGGUUAGGGUUAGGGUUAGGGUUGUUCGGAUUGUUAGGGUUAUUAGGGUUGUUAGGGUUAGUGUUAGCAUUAGGGCUAGGUCUAAGGCUAGGGCUAGGGUUUGGUGUAGGGUUAGGGGUAGGGUUAGGGGUAGGUGUAGGGGUAGGGGUAGGGGUAGGGGUAGGGUUUUAGUGUUGGGUUAGGGUUAGUGUUACGGUUAGGGUUAG
rnacentral:lncRNA from 1 species